AUGGAGCGCAACCCCAGGACACCGGCUCCCCGGGUGUACACGGAGGUCCCGCCGGAAACAACAUUCGUGCGUGCGACCACGUCGACGUUCAAGGAGGUGGUGCAGCGUCUCACCGGCCAGCCGGCGGCCGCAAAUACCGUCGCCCAUCGCUAUGGUGCCACCGUGCAGCAGCCACCGCCGCCACCGGUGCCACUCGCGGCAGGCAUCGUGUCGCCAUAUACGCACCCGCUACCACUGUUGUCGGACAUGCCGGGCCUGUGCAUCGCCAACAAGGCGGUGAAGGUGAACACACUGUUCCCGAUGACAUCGGCGUCAAUGCUCGCUGAGGACAUGGAGAUGGUGGACGCUGAAGAGGAGAAGGCCGUCAAGGAGGGUAGGUUCUACCUGCUUCCGUCGGGAAGGUGCCGCUGCUGCCACGGCGAGCCGAAACUGCUUCCCUUGUUUCCAGGAGCGGAGUAG
rnacentral:rRNA from 1 species